AUUUAACGCUGGCGGCAGGCCUAACACAUGCAAGUCGAACGCGUGGCGGACGGGUGAGUAAUGUCUGGGAAACUUCCUGAUGGAGGGGGAUAACUACUGGAAACGGUCGCUAAUACCGCAUACCAUCAGAUGUGCCCAUAUGGGAUUAGCUUGUUGGUGGGGUAACGGCUCACAAAGGCGACGCUCCCUAGCUGGUCUGAGAGGAGGACCAGCCAAACUGGAACGGAGACACGGUCCAGACUCCUACGGGAGGCAGCAGGGGGGAAUAUUGCACAAUGGGGGAAAGCCUGAGGCAGCCAUGCCGCGUGUAUGAAGAAGGCCUUCGGGUUGUAAAGUACUUUCAGCGGGGAGGCGUUACCCGCAGAAGAAGCACCGGCUAACUCCGUGCCAGCAGCCGCGGUAAUAC
rnacentral:rRNA from 1 species